GCAGCCAAAGCCACGAGAAUCAAGAAGUCAGUGAAGAGCAGGAAAGGAAUGGAGGAAUCUGUCCAGAGCUGUGCCCCUGCUUGCCACAGGAGCUGCGCGGGAGGAGAAGAACGUGGGCCAAAAGGUAAGAGGAGCUCCUUUGGGUUCUGGGCUUGAAGCAAAGCUGAGAAGCCAUGCCCGGGAGGAGGUGUGGGUAGCUACAGGCCACCUUGCUAUCUCCCCAAGAGAUGAGGUGUGUGGGCUAGGCACCGGGCAGGAGUGCUGGCCAGAAGCAAGCAUCUCUGUGGAGGAAGGCAAAGGGCGGAGGAGGUUCAAGGGUAGCUACCGGGCAUGGCCUUGCUCAGCAAGGGGAGGAAAAGCCUGAAGGGCACGAGAAGGGGAUAGAGAAGGGCAGGCAGUAGGCGUGAAGCUGCGAGCAGAGUAGAGAGCAACUUGGCAGAGCAGCAAGCAGAGUAGGCAAGUGUGAGGUUUGGCGUGAGUAGCAGCAAAAGCCCAGAGCAUCAAGAAGCAGGAAGUGAGGAGAAGGUAAGUGAAGGGCAGGCAAGGUAAUGGGAGGCAAAGGCAAGGGGAAAGGGGGGGUAAGGGAGAAAGAAGGGAUGGGGAUGGGGAGGGGAUGGGUGAAGAGCAGAGCGGAGGGAAGGGCUGAGGGGAGGGCUGAAGGCAAACCAUGAUGAAAAAAGAAAAGAAAAAAUAAGAACAAAAAAUAUGAAAAAAGAGAAAAAAAGAAAAGAAAAAUAAGAAAAAGAGAAAAAAUGAAAAGAAAAAAAGAAAAAAAUGAACAAAAAAGAGUAAAAAGAGAAAAAAAUGAAAAAAAAGAAAAAAAGAAAAAGAAAAAAAAAAAUGAACAAAAAAGAGAAAAGAGAAAGAAAUGAAAAAAAGAGAAAAAGAGAAAGAAAAAAAAGAACAUGAACAAAAAAGAAAAAGAGAAAAGAUAAAAAAAGAAAAAAGAUAAAGAAAAGAGAAAAGAAAAAAAGAAAAUAGAAAUAAAAAAGAGGACAGAAAAAUAUGAAAAAAAGAAAAAAGAAAAGAAACAGUAGAUGAAAAAAGAAAAAACAAAAGGAAAAACGAAUAAUGACAAGAGAAGAAAGGUAAAGAGAAAAGAAGAAAAAAGCCAAGUCAAAAAGUAAAGAAUAACUCGAAGGAAGGAGUGGAUGGCAAGAAAUACAGAGAAAGCAGUGCAUAGCACAGCAGAGCAAAGCAAGGCAAAAUAGCAGCCAAAGCCACGAGAAUCAAGAAGUCAGUGAAGAGCAGGAAAGGUAAGUUUCCCUUAAAGCAAGGGGGAAUGGUAGUGGAAGGGAGAAAAGAGAGGGGAGGGGAGGGGAAGUGAAGGAGUGGGG
rnacentral:lncRNA from 7 species